rnacentral:rRNA from 1 species
AUACGUAGGGGGCGAGCGUUGUCCGGAAUGAUUGGGCGUAAAGGGCGCGUAGGCGGCCCGGUAAGUCUGGAGUGAAAGUCCUGUUUUUAAGAUGGGAAUUGCUUUGGAUACUGUCGGGCUUGAGUGCAGGAGAGGUAAGUGGAAUUCCCAGUGUAGCGGUGAAAUGCGUAGAGAUUGGGAGGAACACCAGUGGCGAAGGCGACUUACUGGACUGUAACUGACGCUGAGGUGCGAAAGUGUGGGGAGCAAACAGGAUUAGAUACCCUGGUAGUCCACACUGUAAACGAUGAAUGCUAGGUGUAGGGGGUAUCGACCCCUUCUGUGCCGCAGUCAACACAAUAAGCAUUCCGCCUGGGGAGUACGGCCGCAAGGUUGAAACUCAAAGGAAUUGACGGGG